AGCGAACGCUGGCGGCAGGCCUAACGCAUGCAAGUCGAACGGACCCUUCGGGGUUAGUGGCGGACGGGUGAGUAACACGUGGGAACGUGCCUUUAGGUUCGGAAUAGCUCCUGGAAACGGGUGGUAAUGCCGAAUGUGCCCUUCGGGGGAAAGAUUUAUCGCCUUUAGAGCGGCCCGCGUCUGAUUAGCUAGUUGGUGAGGUAAUGGCUCACCAAGGCGACGAUCAGUAGCUGGUCUGAGAGGAUGACCAGCCACAUUGGGACUGAGACACGGCCCAAACUCCUACGGGAGGCAGCAGUGGGGAAUCUUGCGCAAUGGGCGAAAGCCUGACGCAGCCAUGCCGCGUGGAUGAUGAAGGUCUUAGGAUUGUAAAAUCCUUUCACCGGUGAAGAUAAUGACUGUAGCCGGAGAAGAAGCCCCGGCUAACUUCGUGCCAGCCGCCGCGGUAAUAC
rnacentral:rRNA from 1 species